AUUGAACGCUGGCGGCAGGCUUAACACAUGCAAGUCGAGCGGGGGAAGGUAGCUUGCUACCGGACCUAGCGGCGGACGGGUGAGUAAUGCUUAGGAAUCUGCCUAUUAGUGGGGGACAACAUCUCGAAAGGGAUGCUAAUACCGCAUACGUCCUACGGGAGAAAGCAGGGGGUCUUCGGGCCUUGCGCUAAUAGAUGAGCCUAAGUCGGAUUAGCUAGUUGGUGGGGUAAAGGCCUACCAAGGCGACGAUCUGUAGCGGGUCUGGGAGGAUGAUCCGCCACACUGGGACUGAGACACGGCCCAGACGCCUACGGGAGGCAGCAGUGGGGAAUAUUGGACAAUGGGGGGAACCCUGAUCCAGCCAUGCCGCGUGUGUGAAGAAGGCCUUAUGGUUGUAAAGCACUUUAAGCGAGGAGGAGGCUACUUUAGUUAAUACCUAGAGAUAGUGGACGUUACUCGCAGAAUAAGCACCGGCUAACUCUGUGCCAGCCGCCGCCGUAA
rnacentral:rRNA from 1 species